rnacentral:rRNA from 1 species
UUUUAAAUAUCCCCACGAGUAUCCAUUGGAGGGCAAGUCUGGUGCCAGCAGCCGCGGUAAUUCCAGCUCCAAUAGCGUAUAUUAAAGUUGUUGCGGUUAAAAAGCUCGUAGUUGGAUUUCUGCCGAGGAUGACCGGCCCGCCUUCGGGUGUGUGCAUGUGUUGACCGAGGCAUUUGUUAGUUAUUGGCUUCACAUUACUGUGUUGUCAAUGUUCUAACAUGUUACUUUGAGGAAAUUAGAGUGUUUCAAGCAGGCAAUCGCCCUGAAUACAUUAGCAUGGAAUAACAAUAUAGGACUCCGGUUCUAUUUUGUUGGUUUCUUGAGCUGGAGUAAUGAUUAAUAGGGACAAUCGGGGGCAUCCGUACUCAACCGUCAGAGGUGAAAUUCUUGGAUUGGUUGAAGACGAACUACUGCGAAAGCAUUUGCCAAGGAUGUUUUUAUUGAUCAAGAACGAAAGUUAAGGGAUCGAAGACGAUCAGAUACCGUCCUAGUCUUAACCAUAAACUAUGCCAACUUGAGAUUGGAGGUCGUGUCUUAACACUUCCAGCAUCCCACGAGAAAUCCAAGUCUUUGGGUUCCGGGGGGAGUAUGGUCGCAAGGCUGAAACUUAAAGGAAUUGACGGAAGGGCACCACCAGGAGUGGAGCCUGCGGCUUAAUUUGACCCAACACGGGAAAACUCACCAGGGCCAGACAUGAGAAGGAUUGACAGAUUGAUAGCUCUUUCUUGAUUUUAUGGGUGGUGGUGCAUGGCCGUUCUUAGUUGGUGGAGUGAUUUGUCUGGUUAAUUCCGAUAACGAACGAGACCUUAACCUGCUAAAUAGUUGCUGGAAGCCUUGGUUUCCAAGUAACUUCUUAGAGGGACUUUGGGUAUUUAAUACUCAAGGAAGUUUGAGGCAAUAACAGGUCUGUGAUGCCCUUAGAUGUUCUGGGCUGCACGCGCGCUACACUGACACGAUCAGCGAGUUUGUCUUUGCCCGAAAGGGUUGAGUAACCUUCUCAAAUCGUGUCGUGAUGGGGCUUGAUCAUUGUAAUUAUUGAUCAUCAACGAGGAAUUCCUAGUAAGUGCAAGUCAUCAACUUGCGCUGAUUGCGUCCCUGCCCUUUGUACACACCGCCCGUCGCUCCUACCGAUAGAGUGUUCCGGUGAAUACUUCGGAUAGCGCUAUUCCGGCAACGGUUAUAGUGCUAAAAGUUGUGUAAACCUUAUCACUU